CCAGCGUGGAUUUUCUGGACCAUUCCGUAGGCCCCAAGGACAAGAAAGCACUGAUGGAAGAAGGGGAGAGUCAAGGAUGGGAAGGGACCGAGCCCUCACGACAAGGUGUGUAGACGGUGGAGCCAGAUGAAACCCAGGCCAUGCGAUUCCCAAGCAUAACCUCUACCCGUGGAUGUAUUCAGAAGAUGGAACAACGGAGCAGCACAAGUUCGUUAAGCUAAACAGACCUGAUAGAAGGCUGGCCCUUCCUGCUACUGAGGAAUCCCAUGGACUACGAAUACAGCCACCAAAGAACGAAUAGUUGCUAAUUAUCUCCCUCCACUGGCUUUCCUGGUAACCAUUUUUAACUCGGGGUUUCCCUGAUGGGGUAGGAAGCAGUCUGCGGUGG
rnacentral:lncRNA from 1 species